rnacentral:lncRNA from 1 species
AGUUCAAUAAGCUUUAUAGGAAAGGUCCAGAGAAGGAACUGCCAUGCUGAGGAUCAUUUGCUUGUGGGUGUGUAUAUGUUAUUUGGAGGCAUUCACUGGACUCACAAGACUCUUUCUAAAGAUAUGGCCUUGGGAUGCAGCCCAGCUUUGAACUUAUGCUCCACCUCCGACUUCUUCCCAGGUGCUGGGGUUGUAAGUACGCAGCACCAUGCGUGGGAAGAGAAGCAUCUGAAUGGCUCUGGCCCCGAGGCCGCUGGGGCUCCUGUGCUCAGUGUCAACGCAGGAGAUCAAGUCUGAAGUCAGAAGAACGAGAACAGAGAAAACUGGCUCCAGGCAGGGUGGUGCCCUGAAGCUGGGGAAAGGCAGUCAAGUCCAGAAUCUAUUUGAAGGUGCAUCCACACCCCGUACCUAGAUCAGAUGUAGUUGUAAGAGCAAGAGAGGUGUGUGGAAGGACUGGGGUGUCAGUCUGAACAAAUGGUAGAGAGCUUCACUAUGGAAGUCAUUGACUCACUCACUCAUUCAUUCAAUUCAUCAAUUGAAUCACAUUAUCUAAUGUGUGCAUGUGUGACAAGAGGAUAAUUUGUGGAAGUCAGUUCUCUCCUUAGACCAUAUGGGCCUUGGUGAUGGAGUUCAGGCUGCCUGGUUUGGCAGCAGGUGCCUUUAUCCACUGGGCCAUCUCUACUAUCCCGUGGCUGUUAUUCCUAAUGAAUGGGUCAACUACUGCAUGAAAAUAUAAGACACAGCCAUUACUCACCAGGUACUAGCGCUUGCCCCCUUCCACAUGCUGUAGGAAUAGUCAGCGUUUCUGUAGGACAUGACGCUCACCACCCCUGAGAGGAACCAGAACAGAAGAACACAGCCCUUCACUUCCUGGGCAUGCUGGAUCGGCCUGGUGAGCCCUCUGUGGUGUGGCCAACACUGGGCUUCUCACAGGAACUGUGUGAACUACUUGAGCUGGGAAUCAAAUAGAACAUUCUGCUCCCAUUCAGAGAGGAUGGGAGAGCCCCGCAGAGUCUGAGACAGGUGUCUUGGUUUGUAUCCAAGCAUUUUGGUAAGUUAAGCCAAAAUGCCUCAAAAAGAGAACAUGCCAUGGUUUUUCUUUCUUGUUAAAAUUCUUUAUAAGUAAUCAUAUAUGUAUAAUUCUUAACAAUUUAAAUAUUAUGUUCAAUAAGAUAUUUGCUUAGAAUUCUGUAAAAUGAUGUAU